rnacentral:rRNA from 1 species
UACGUAGGGUGCGAGCGUUACUCGGAAUUACUGGGCGUAAAGCGUGCGCAGGCGGUUCGGAAAGAAAGAUGUGAAAUCCCAGGGCUUAACCCUGGAACUGCAUUUUUAACUCCCGGGCUAGAGUGUGUCAGAGGGGGGUAGAAUUCCACGUGUAGCAGUGAAAUGCGUAGAGAUGUGGAGGAAUACCGAUGGCGAAGGCAGCCCCCUGGGACAACACUGACGCUCAGGCACGAAAGCGUGGGGAGCAAACAGG